rnacentral:rRNA from 1 species
CCAACUGGGAUACCUUAGUAACGGCGAGUGAAGCGGUAAAAGCUCAAAUUUGAAAUCUGGUACUUUCAGUGCCCGAGUUGUAAUUUGUAGAAUUUGUCUUUGAUUAGGUCCUUGUCUAUGUUCCUUGGAACAGGACGUCAUAGAGGGUGAGAAUCCCGUUUGGCGAGGAUACCUUUUCUCUGUAAGACUUUUUCGAAGAGUCGAGUUGUUUGGGAAUGCAGCUCAAAGUGGGUGGUAAAUUCCAUCUAAAGCUAAAUAUUGGCGAGAGACCGAUAGCGAACAAGUACAGUGAUGGAAAGAUGAAAAGAACUUUGAAAAGAGAGUGAAAAAGUACGUGAAAUUGUUGAAAGGGAAGGGCAUUUGAUCAGACAUGGUGUUUUUUGCAUGCACUCGCCUCUCGUGGGCUUGGGCCUCUCAAAAAUUUCACUGGGCCAACAUCAAUUCUGGCAGCAGGAUAAAUCAUUAAGAAUGUAGCUACUUCGGUAGUGUUAUAGCUUUUUGGAAUACUGUUAGCCGGGAUUGAGGACUGCGCUUCGGCAAGGAUGUUGGCAUAAUGGUUAAAUGCCGCCCGUCUUGAAACACGAACCAAAAAAAUUU